CAGGGAGCGUGAAACGCUCCGGCGCCAUAGGAUGAGGCUGCGGCCGAUUAGGUAGACGGUGGGGUAACGGCCCACCGUGCCGAUAAUCGGUACGGGUCAUGAGAGUGAGAGCCCGGAGACGGACUCUGAGACAAGAGUCCGGGCCCUACGGGGCGCAGCAGGCGCGAAACCUUUACACUGCACGACAGUGCGAUAGGGGGAUUCCGAGUGCGAGGGCAUACAGUCCUCGCUUUUGUGUACCGUAAGGUGGUACACGAAUAAGGGCUGGGCAAGACCGGUGCCAGCCGCCGCGGUAAUACCGGCAGCUCAAGUGAUGGCCGAUAUUAUUGGGCCUAAAGCGUCCGUAGCUGGCCGGGCAGGUCCGUCGGGAAAUCCACUCGCCUAACGAGUGGGCGUCCGGCGGAAACCGCUCGGCUUGGGACCGAGAGACCAGAGGGGUACGUCCGGGGUAGGAGUGAAAUCCUGUAAUCCUGGACGGACCACCGGUGGCGAAAGCGCCUCUGGAGAGCGGAUCCGACAGUGAGGGACGAAAGCUAGGGUCUCGAACCGGAUUAGAUACCCGGGUAGUCCUAGCUGUAAACGAUGCUCGCUAGGUGUGGCGCAGGCUACGAGCCUGCGCUGUGCCGUAGGGAAGCCGUGAAGCGAGCCGCCUGGGAAGUACGUCCGCAAGGAUGAAACUUAAAGGAAUUGGCG
rnacentral:rRNA from 1 species